GGCCGACUAGCUCAGUUGGUUAGAGCGUCGUGCUAAUAUUGCAAACAGGUGUGGCAUUAGUUUAACGCGAAGGUCUUGGGUUCGAUCCCCACGUUGGCCA